GAGGGGAUAGCUUGGUAGUACAGCGCGUGCUUAACAUGCAUGAGGUCCUGGGUUCAAUCCCCAGUCCCUCCG
rnacentral:tRNA from 1 species